CAGUGUCAGACCACACUCUAGUGUGCCAUUCUGCGGAGAG
rfam:West Nile virus strain Horse 1/Austria/2016 (Ho1/16), complete genome